CCAUCUCGGACGGGAGAGCGUCGGGGGCAACCGCCACCCGGCCGCCGGAGGAGCAACCACCCCGGAAUCUCUCAGGCACCGGUACCGCCCGGGUCAG
rnacentral:ncRNA from 1 species